AACGAACGCUGGCGGCAGGCUUAACACAUGCAAGUCGAGCGCCCCGCAAGGGGAGCGGCAGACGGGUGAGUAACGCGUGGGAAUCUACCCAUCUCUACGGAACAACUCCGGGAAACUGGAGCUAAUACCGUAUACGUCCGAGAGGAGAAAGAUUUAUCGGGGAUGGAUGAGCCCGCGUUGGAUUAGCUAGUUGGUGGGGUAAUGGCCUACCAAGGCGACGAUCCAUAGCUGGUCUGAGAGGAUGAUCAGCCACACUGGGACUGAGACACGGCCCAGACUCCUACGGGAGGCAGCAGUGGGGAAUAUUGGACAAUGGGCGCAAGCCUGAUCCAGCCAUGCCGUGUGAGUGAUGAAGGCCCUAGGGUUGUAAAGCUCUUUCAACGGUGAAGAUAAUGACGGUAACCGUAGAAGAAGCCCCGGCUAACUUCGUGCCAGCAGCCGCGGUAAUAC
rnacentral:rRNA from 1 species